rnacentral:rRNA from 1 species
AUUGAACGCUGGCGGCAGGCCUAACACAUGCACGUCGAGCGAGCGGCGGACGGGUGAGUAAUGUCUGGAAAACUGCCUGAUGGAGGGGGAUAACUACUGGAAACGGUAGCUAAUACCGCAUACCAUCAGAUGUGCCCAGAUGGGCUUAGCUAGUAGGUGGGGUAACGGCUCACCAAGGCGACGAUCCCUAGCUGGUCUGAGAUGAGGACCAGCCACACUGGAACUGAGACACGGUCCAGACUCCUACGGGAGGCAGCAUUGGGGAAUAUUUCACAAUGGGCGAAAGCCUGAUGCAGCCAUGCCGCGUGUAUGAAGAAGGCUGUCGGGUUGUAAAGUACUUUCAGCGGGGAGGCGUUACCCGCAGAAGAAGCACCGGCUAACUCCGUGCCAGCAGCCGCGGUAAUUC